GAUGAACGCUGGCGGCGUGCCUAAUACAUGCGAGUCGAGCGAACGGACGAGAAGCUUGCUUCUCUGAUGUUAGCGGCGGACGGGUGAGUAACACGUGGAUAACCUACCUAUAAGACUGGGAUAACUUCGGGAAACCGGAGCUAAUACCGGAUAAUAUUUUGAACCGCAUGGUUCAAAAGUGAAAGACGGUCUUGCUGUCACUUAUAGAUGGAUCCGCGCUGCAUUAGCUAGUUGGUAAGGUAACGGCUUACCAAGGCAACGAUGCAUAGCCGACCUGAGAGGGUGAUCGGCCACACUGGAACUGAGACACGGUCCAGACUCCUACGGGAGGCAGCAGUAGGGAAUCUUCCGCAAUGGGCGAAAGCCUGACGGAGCAACGCCGCGUGAGUGAUGAAGGUCUUCGGAUCGUAAAACUCUGUUAUCAGGGAAGAACAUAUGUGUAAGUAACUGUGCACAUCUUGACGGUACCUAAUCAGAAAGCCACGGCUAACUACGUGCCAGCAGCCGCGGUAAUACGUAGGUGGCAAGCGUUAUCCGGAAUUAUUGGGCGUAAAGCGCGCGUAGGCGGUUUUUUAAGUCUGAUGUGAAAGCCCACGGCUCAACCGUGGAGGGUCAUUGGAAACUGGAAAACUUGAGUGCAGAAGAGGAAAGUGGAAUUCCAUGUGUAGCGGUGAAAUGCGCAGAGAUAUGGAGGAACACCAGUGGCGAAGGCGACUUUCUGGUCUGUAACUGACGCUGAUGUGCGAAAGCGUGGGGAUCAAACAGGAUUAGAUACCCUGGUAGUCCACGCCGUAAACGAUGAGUGCUAAGUGUUAGGGGGUUUCCGCCCCUUAGUGCUGCAGCUAACGCAUUAAGCACUCCGCCUGGGGAGUACGACCGCAAGGUUGAAACUCAAAGGAAUUGACGGGGACCCGCACAAGCGGUGGAGCAUGUGGUUUAAUUCGAAGCAACGCGAAGAACCUUACCAAAUCUUGACAUCCUUUGACAACUCUAGAGAUAGAGCUUUCCCCUUCGGGGGACAAAGUGACAGGUGGUGCAUGGUUGUCGUCAGCUCGUGUCGUGAGAUGUUGGGUUAAGUCCCGCAACGAGCGCAACCCUUAAGCUUAGUUGCCAUCAUUAAGUUGGGCACUCUAAGUUGACUGCCGGUGACAAACCGGAGGAAGGUGGGGAUGACGUCAAAUCAUCAUGCCCCUUAUGAUUUGGGCUACACACGUGCUACAAUGGACAAUACAAAGGGCAGCGAAACCGCGAGGUCAAGCAAAUCCCAUAAAGUUGUUCUCAGUUCGGAUUGUAGUCUGCAACUCGACUACAUGAAGCUGGAAUCGCUAGUAAUCGUAGAUCAGCAUGCUACGGUGAAUACGUUCCCGGGUCU
rnacentral:rRNA from 1 species